rnacentral:rRNA from 1 species
GCGACAGCAGGGACGACAGCCGGGGGGAUACGGGGGGGGGUGGCGCGGUAGUGGGAGACGGGGCUGAAAGGGCUCGGAUGCGUACCGGCAAGUCGGGGGUGAUAGCCCGAGGCUGAACAUCGGAACUGUCUGCGAUACUGCGGUGCUCGAGGCCGUGAGAGGUGAGUGGAAUGCCUAGUGUAGAGGGGAAAUUCGUAGAUAUUAGGAAGAACACCAGUGGAGAAGGCGGCUCACUGGCCCGGUACUGACGCUGAGGCGCGAAAGCGUGGGGAGCAAACAGGAUUAGAUACCCGAGUAGUC